UGGGGAAUAUUGGACAAUGGGCGGAAGCCUGAUCCAGCCAUGCCGCGUGUGUGAAGAAGGCCUUUUGGUUGUAAAGCACUUUAAGCGAGGAGGAGGCUACUUGGAUUAAUACUCUAGGAUAGUGGACGUUACUCGCAGAAUAAGCACCGGCUAACUCUGUGCCAGCAGCCGCGGUAAUACAGAGGGUGCGAGCGUUAAUCGGAUUUACUGGGCGUAAAGCGUGCGUAGGCGGCUUCUUAAGUCGGAUGUGAAAUCCCUGAGCUUAACUUAGGAAUUGCAUUCGAUACUGGGAAGCUAGAGUAUGGGAGAGGAUGGUAGAAUUCCAGGUGUCGCGGUGAAAUGCGUAGAGAUCUGGAGGAAUACCGAUGGCGAAGGCAGCCAUCUGGCCUAAUACUGACGCUGAGGUACGAAAGCAUGGGGAGCAAACAGG
rnacentral:rRNA from 1 species